UACAGAGGGUGCGAGCGUUGUUCGGAAUUAUUGGGCGUAAAGCGCUUGUAGGCGGCUCGUGAAGUCUCGUGUGAAAUCCCUAGGCUUAACCUAGGAAGUGCGCGAGAAACUAAGGAGCUUGAGUGCCGGAGAGGGUCGCGGAAUUCCCGGUGUAGAGGUGAAAUUCGUAGAUAUCGGGAGGAACACCAGUGGCGAAGGCGGCGACCUGGACGGACACUGACGCUGAGACGCGAAAGCGUGGGGAGCAAACAGG
rnacentral:rRNA from 1 species